rnacentral:tRNA from 1 species
CUUCAAAUAGUUUAUGUGUUAAAACAUUAUUUUUUCAAGAUAUUGAAAAGGGAUUUUCCUUUUUGAAGG